AGUGAACGCUGGCGGUAGGCCUAACACAUGCAAGUCGAACGGAAGCACAGUAAGAGCUUGCUCUUACGGGUGGCGAGUGGCGGACGGGUGAGGAAUACAUCGGAAUCUACUUUUUCGUGGGGGAUAACGUAGGGAAACUUACGCUAAUACCGCAUACGACCUACGGGUGAAAGCAGGGGAUCUUCGGACCUUGCGCGAUUGAAUGAGCCGAUGUCGGAUUAGCUAGUUGGCGGGGUAAAGGCCCACCAAGGCGACGAUCCGUAGCUGGUCUGAGAGGAUGAUCAGCCACACUGGAACUGAGACACGGUCCAGACUCCUACGGGAGGCAGCAGUGGGGAAUAUUGGACAAUGGGCGCAAGCCUGAUCCAGCCAUACCGCGUGGGUGAAGAAGGCCUUCGGGUUGUAAAGCCCUUUUGUUGGGAAAGAAAAUCAGCAGGUUAAUACCCCGCUGUUCUGACGGUACCCAAAGAAUAAGCACCGGCUAACUUCGUG
rnacentral:rRNA from 1 species